rnacentral:lncRNA from 1 species
UGUGCCCAUUGUACCUUGUUAAAAUUUUCUUGUUACAUUAAUAUUGACAGUAAUAUUUUCAGCUAUCUCACAUCAGUGCUUGAAGAAGACAGAAAGAUUAAAACUCAAGAUCUUUCAACUCCUCUAUCGAGUGUACUGAGGACGUACAGUAAUUUAGAGACUGUUUUAGAAGCGUUCAGUUGUUCCGAAUGGAGACCGGGGUACAGCUCGCUCAAUUCUGUUAUAUCCACUAUUGCAAACGCUUUGCGUACUGACAGCGACUUCGAGAAGUUCGAAGAGCGGCUACAGAGUACAGGCUGUCAGGAAAGCGAGAUAAAUAGUGGGCGGAAUGCUGUGAACAGUA